UUGAAGGUCAUCAACACCAUGAAGAAUGGAGGAGUACCUCCGGGAGCGGCGGCGACGAUUUUUGAUGAUUGCUAUUCUUUUUUGUUUGAUUUUUCUUUCGCUAGUUUUGAACAUUAUAAUAGAGAAGCGAAUAAGGUAGCUCAUGAACUUGCCAUGUCAGCUAGAUUUUCUCCGACUAAGGAUUGGUUUGAGGAGCUUCUGAGCGAAAUUGUAUCUUUUUAA
rnacentral:rRNA from 1 species